AUGGCAGCAGCACAUGGACAUGGAGACAGUGCUGGCCAGGAGCAGAUGAGUACUUUUCAUCCAAGCCUGUGGGGUGAUUUCUUCCUUACUUAUCAGGCCCCAUCUUCAGCGCUGCUACCUCAAAUGAAAGAAAGAGCAGGAGUGUUAAGGGAACAAGUAAGGGCGAUGAUAAAAGAUUCAAAUGAAAUACCAAAAAUAUUAGAUCUUAUAAUGACACUAGAACGACUUGGUUUGGACUACCAUUAUGAGAAUGAGAUCAACCAGCAAUUCAAUGUUGUUUUCAACUCUGAUUACGAUGAUAAUAAUCUACACUUGGUUUCACUUCGGUUUUAUCUUCUACGAAAAAAUGGAUAUGAUGUGCCAUCAGAUGUAUUCCAAAAAUUUCAAGACAAAAAUGGAUAUUUUGUGAAUGUUGAUACAACAAAUUUGCUAAGCUUAUACAAUGCGGCAUAUAUGAGGACCCAUGGCGAGGAAGUAUUAGAUGCGGCUAUCUCUUUCACCAAAAGAUGUCUUCAGUGUGAUUUAGAACUGGAAUCACCUCAUGCAAAGGAAGUGUGUUCUACCCUAGAUACACCUCUUUUUAGAAGGGUUGGAAUAUUAGAAACAAGAAGUUACAUAUCCAAGUAUGAAAAGGAUUCUAUACGAAAUGAAGCCAUACUGGAGCUUGCAAAACUGAAUUUUAACAUUCUACAAAUUCAUUUCUGUGAGGAGUUAAAAGAUGUCACACUGUGGUGGAAGGAGCUCUAUGGUAAAUCCAAUUUGAGUUUUGUUAGAGAUCGAAUAGUAGAAGUGUAUUUCUGGAUGAAUGGGGUAUGCUACAAACCUCAAUAUUCUCAUUCGCGAAUUAUACUGACAAAUAUCACAGCUUUCAUUACCAUUAUAGACGAUAUAUUUGACACAUAUGGUAGUACCAAAGAGAGUAUGCAACUUCAAGAAGCAAUUAAAAGGUGGGAUGAAAGUGCAGUAGCUCUGCUUCCAGAGUACAUGAAGAAUUUCUACCUGUAUUUACUAGAGACAUUUGCUUCCUUCGAGGCGGAGUUAGGAGUUGACAAGACCUACCGUGUGUUUUACCUAAAAGAAACGCUGAAGCAAUUAGUUCAAGCAUACGCCGAUGAACUAAAAUGGCGUGAUGAACAUUAUGUGCCAAAAACAAUGAGCGAACAUCUUAAAGUUUCAUCUACAAGCAUUGGACCCUACCUGCUAGCUUGUGCUGCAUAUGUUGGAAUGGAUGAGAUAACAUCAGAGGAGACUUUCAAGUGGGUUCUAGAAAGUCCACAACUAAUCAAGUGUUUGGGUAUAUUUGUCCGUCUCUCAAAUGAUAUAGUGUCAACCAAGCGUGAGCAAAUAGGGGACCACUGCGGCUCUACCAUCCAAUGUUACAUGAAGGAGCAUGGGACAACAAUGCAUGAUGCUUGCCAGUAG
rnacentral:rRNA from 1 species